CCCAAAAGAUAGUGAACUAGGUCUGGGCAGAGUGAUGCCCGAGGAAAGUCUGGUGGAGGUCUGUAGGGGUCCCAGUGAGCAAAUUUAUCAUCUGAUUUGGAUAUAGGGAUGAGAGACUAAACCUUCUCUUAGCUAG
rnacentral:ncRNA from 1 species